AAUAGAUACCCAGGUAGUCCACGCCGUAAACGAUGUCGACUUGGAGGUUGUUCCCUUGAGGAGUGGCUUCCGGAGCUAACGCGUUAAGUCGACCGCCUGGGGAGUACGGCCGCAAGGUUAAAACUCAAAUGAAUUGACGGGGGCCCGCACAAGCGGUGGAGCAUGUGGUUUAAUUCGAUGCAACGCGAAGAACCUUACCUACUCUUGACAUCCACGGAACUUUUCAGAGAUGAAUUGGUGCCUUCGGGAACCGUGAGACAGGUGCUGCAUGGCUGUCGUCAGCUCGUGUUGUGAAAUGUUGGGUUAAGUCCCGCAACGAGCGCAACCCUUAUCCUUUGUUGCCAGCGGUUAGGCCGGGAACUCAAAGGAGACUGCCAGUGAUAAACUGGAGAAGGUGGGGAUGACGUCAAGUCAUCAUGGCCCUUACGAGUAGGGCUACACACGUGCUACAAUGGCGCAUACAAAGAGAAGCGACCUCGCGAGAGCAAGCGGACCUCAUAAAGUGCGUCGUAGUCCGGAUUGGAGU
rnacentral:rRNA from 1 species